GUCUAUUAAAUAUCGCUGUUCGGAAUUUUGAGUGACCGUCCGUUUAUGGCACGAACAGGCCCAUUCCCUUCUUUAGGAAAUUCCGAAUUAUAUGUUCUCCCCGAGCUGUAAACCUAAUGACUCCGAGGUCAGGUAUAAAACCCCGGGAAAGGACUAGUCGGAAGGGCACGAGAGGCAAGCGAAAUCCAACGUUGGUUGGUAGAGAGAAUCAGCAACGUAGGAGGACAAUUCAUCAUCAGACAUCGUACCGGUGAGAUACUUCACUCCCAACAAGAUCUUACCACCGUCGUGCAUAACAUCACACUUUACGUUAUACAAUAAGUGCAGAUACAAUGCUGGAUUACUUCAACACUCGAUCUAUUAAACCUCCUCCACCUUGAGCGUUAAGUCAUUCGAGAUACGCGAUAUCGACCGAUCGCUUGUAAAUGUACACG